UACACUCCUACGGGAGGCAGCAGUGGGGAAUUUUGGACAAUGGGCGAAAGCCUGAUCCAGCCAUGCCGCGUGCAGGAUGAAGGCCUUCGGGUUGUAAACUGCUUUUGUACGGAACGAAACGGCCUUUUCUAAUAAAGAGGGCUAAUGACGGUACCGUAAGAAUAAGCACCGGCUAACUACGUGCCAGCAGCCGCGGUAAUACGUAGGGUGCAAGCGUUAAUCGGAAUUACUGGGCGUAAAGCGUGCGCAGGCGGUUAUGUAAGACAGUUGUGAAAUCCCCGGGCUCAACCUGGGAACUGCAUCUGUGACUGCAUAGCUAGAGUACGGUAGAGGGGGAUGGAAUUCCGCGUGUAGCAGUGAAAUGCGUAGAUAUGCGGAGGAACACCGAUGGCGAAGGCAAUCCCCUGGACCUGUACUGACGCUCAUGCACGAAAGCGUGGGGAGCAAACAGGAUUAGAAACCCGGGUAGUCCCAUGA
rnacentral:rRNA from 1 species